UUUGGUUCUGAGCCUGGGAGUAGCAGGCUGGGGGAGGAGCCUAAGGCUAGGCCGGCUCUCAGGAGCAGUGUGGGCCCCAAAUAUCCUCUUCUGUGAUCUUUUUACCUUUUGGCAAAGUGUUAUUUAAAUGUAUUUAAAUCUUUUAAGGAAAUAUUUCUAAUUUUGUGCCAAAAUAAAGCACUGUAAAUCCUAGCCACUGUUCCUUUGCUUCCCCAGGGGCCGCAGUGACUGUGUCCAGUCCUUCCUCACCCCGCUGCAGAGUCAGUCCAGGAGGCCUUUACCCACAGCACUGCCACCUCCCUCCACGACCCCUGUCUUUCUCUUCCCCAGAUUAAACGCUCCCACUUCUCUCCAUUCUUCUUUCUCCACCCCCAGGCCCAUUUCUGCCUCGGUUGCCUGCCUCCAACCACAAUCCAGUUUUUUGGCUCCCAGAGACAGACAUGCCCAGAUCUGAACACCACCCACCUGGAUAAAGAAAAUGGGUACGGCCAAGACCAUAGACCUAGUGAUUGUCAGAUGAACAAUUAGACCCACAGAACCAUCCAAGCUACAGAGGACGCAUUCUGCCUUCCCUUGGAUCCUGUGGUUUGAGGAUGGAGGUCUAGGACCGUGGCAGGCUUUUUGUCCCAUGAGGGAAGGCCAUGGAGCUGAGGAAGGGGAAGAACACACACACCUAAUGGAAUCUCGAGAGAAAGUUCAGACAUCAAAAGACAGAAGCGACAGAGACCCAGAUGGAGUCUCACCCAGCCUGGAGUACAGUAGUAUGAUCUGCAACCUUUGCCUCCCAGGUUCAGGCGAUUCUCCUGUCUCAGCCUCCGGAGUAUCUGGGAUUACAGGCACGUGCCACCACGCCCGGCUAAUUUUUUGUAUUUUUAGUAGAGAUGGGUUUCACCGUGUUAGCCAGGAUGGUCUCGAACUCCUGACCUCGUGAUCUACCCGCCUUGGCCUCCCAAAGUGCUGGGAUUACAGGCAUGAGCUACCGUGCUCGGCCAUGCCUGGCUAAUUUAUAUAUACAUAUAUAUAUAUAUAUAUAUUUUUUUUUUUUUUUUUUUUUUUUUGAGACAGAGUCUUGCUCUGUCACCCAGGUUGGAGUGCAGUGGCAUGAUCUCGGCUCACUGCAAGCUCGCCUCCCAGGUUCACGCCAUUCUCCUGCCUCAGCCUCCUGAGUAGCUGGGACUACAGGCGCCCGCAUGACGCCCGGCUAAUUUUUUGUAUUUUUAGUAGAGACGGGGUUUCACUGUGUUAGCCAGGAUGGUCUCGAUCUCCUGACCUCGUGAUCUGCCCACCUCAGCCUCCGAAAGUGCUGGGAUUACAGACAUGAGCCACCGCACCCAGCCUUAUAUAUAUAUUUUUUAUUAGUGAAGAGGUUUCGCCAUAUUGGCCAGACUGGUCUCGAACUCCUGACCUCAGGUGAUCCACCCACCUCGGCCUCCCAAAGUGCUGGGAUUACAGGUGGGAGCCACCGCACCCUGCCUAAAAUGCAAAAGAUUUUGAAUGGCGAGAAUGGCGACAUGAUGCCACAAGUGGAAAAUUCCACACCUGGCUGCAUGUAAUGGGUUGAAGUCAAAAUGCAGUCAAAAACUUUGUUUCAUGUACAAAAUUAUUAAAAACAUUGUAUAAAAUCACCUUCAGACUAUGUGUAUGUGAAACCUAAGUGAAUUUAAUGGCUAGACUUCAGUUGCAUUCCCAAGAUCUCUCAUUAUGUAUAUGCAAAUAUUUUGAAAUUCAACCUGGUUCCACACAUUUUAGAUAAGGGAUACUCAAGCUGUAAUUAACAAAUAAACUUUUCACAGUCCAAGCAGCCAAAGGCCCACUGUCCCUGUUCCCUCAGCUCACGCCCCCUUCCGUGCACAGCCUUAUCUAAUCCUUCUACCCUUC
rnacentral:lncRNA from 10 species